ACCCUUAGAUGUUCUGGGCUGCACGCGCGCUACACUGAAGCUAUCAACACGUUUUCCCUCCCUGAGAAGGGCGGGUAACCUUUUGAAUCAGCUUCGUGGUAGGGAUCGGGGCUUGCAAUUGUUCCCCGUGAACCAGGAAUUCCUAGUAGACGCGAGUCAUAAGCUCGCAUCGAUUAAGUCCCUGCCCUUUGUACACACCGCCCGUCGCUACUACCGAUUGAACGUUUUAGUGAGGCAUUUGAACCGACGCAUCUCAGUUUAACCGCUGGUUUGUGUUGGAAAGACUUCCAAACUUGAGCGUUUAGAGGAAGUAAAAGUCGUAACA
rnacentral:rRNA from 1 species